rnacentral:siRNA from 1 species
UCAUCCAUUGGAAGUCCUGUUGUU